rnacentral:rRNA from 1 species
GACGAACGCUGGCGGCGUGCUUAACACAUGCGAGUCGAACGGUGAAGCGCCUUCCUUUUUGGUGGGUGUGGAUGAGUGGCGAACGGGUGAGUAACACGUGAGUAACCUGCCCCCUUCUUCUGGAUAACCGCAUGAAAGUGUGGCUAAUACGGGAUAUUCUGGGUCUGUCGCAUGAUGGGUCUGGGAAAGAUAUUGUUUCGGUGGGGGAUGGGCUCGCGGCCUAUCAGCUUGUUGGUGGGGUGAUGGCCUACCAAGGCGGUGACGGGUAGCCGGCCUGAGAGGGUUGGCGGUCCCCCUGGGGAUGGGGCCCCGGCCCGACUCCUACGGGGGGCAGCCGUGGGGGAUAUUGCACAAUGGGCGCAAGCCUGAUGCAGCGACGCCGCGUGAGGGAUGGAGGCCUUCGGGUUGUGAACCUCUUUCGCCAGUGAAGCAGGCCUGCCUCGUUUGUGGGUGGGUUGACGGUAGCUGGAUAAGAAGCGCCGGCUAACUACGUG